rnacentral:rRNA from 1 species
UACGGAGGAUGCGAGCGUUAUCCGGAUUUAUUGGGUUUAAAGGGUGCGUAGGCGGACGCUUAAGUCAGCGGUAAAAUUGCGGGGCUCAACCUCGUCGAGCCGUUGAAACUGGGUGCCUUGAGUGGGCGAGAAGUACGCGGAAUGCGUGGUGUAGCGGUGAAAUGCAUAGAUAUCACGCAGAACCCCGAUUGCGAAGGCAGCGUACCGGCGCCCAACUGACGCUGAAGCACGAAGGCGUGGGUAUCGAACAGG